GAGGGUAUAGCUCAGUGGUAGAGCACAUGCUUAGCAUGCACGAGGUCCUGGGUUCACUCCCCAGUACCUCUA
rfam:Camelus ferus unplaced genomic scaffold scaffold280, whole genome shotgun sequence.